rfam:Triticum aestivum genome assembly, contig: Triticum_aestivum_CS42_TGACv1_scaffold_129282_2BL
CUUAUACUCCCUCCGUCCGGAAAUACUUGUCAUAGAUAUGAAUGUGUCUAGAUGCAUUUUAGUUUUAUAUACAUUCAUUUUCAUCCAUUUCGAUGACAAGUAAUUCCGGACGGAGGGAGUAUAUG